rnacentral:rRNA from 1 species
GAAUUUUGGACAAUGGGGGCAACCCUGAUCCAGCCAUCCCGCGUGUGCGAUGAGGGCCUCCGGGUGGUAAAGCACUUUUGGCGGGGAAGAAAAGGCUCUGGCUACUACCCGGGGCUGCUGCCGGUACCUGCAGAAUAAGCACCGGCCAACUACGUGCCAGCAGCCGCGGUAAUACGUAGGGUGCAAGCGUUACUCGGAAUUACUGGGCGUAAAGCGUGCGCAGGCGGUUCGGCAAGAAGGAUGUGAAAUCCCAGGGCUUAACCUUGGAACUGCAUUCUUAACUGCCGGGCUAGAGUAUGUCAGAGGGGGGUAGAAUUCCGCGUGUAGCAGUGAAAUGCGUAGAGAUGCGGAGGAAUACCGAUGGCGAAGGCAGCCCCCUGGGAUAAUACUGACGCUCAUGCACGAAAGCGUGGGGAGCAAAC